GACGAAUCCGCGCUCCCCCAGGCUGUCGCGCGAGCUCCCCGGAAGCUCCCACCUGAGCGGCGCAUCCUCAGGGCCUGGGCCUGGCCUCCUUGCCUGUGAGAUGGCACUGUGACGGUGCCCACCUCGUGGGGUGUGUGAGGGCCGAGUGAAAUCGUGCAUUUGCGGUCUGAAAUGCAGAAGACAGAAGAUGAGCUCUGGCUCUUCACCUGCAUGGCUGGUGGCAGUGUGGCCUCAGUCUUCUGGGGCUUGAGGAGCUCUGACACUGGUCAGGUCAGAGGUGCCCACUCACCCACUGCUGCCCGUAGCUGUCUUCCACAUCGUUGAUCCAGCGGUCAUCCCAGUCCACUCGGAGGCCCAACAGGUGAAUUGGGAGGAAGCCGUUCUCAGCCAGAAUCACAAACUUGCCCUCGCCCUCCGUGUACCCAUCGAUCUUCAGACCUGGUACUUGUUGGUGGAGUUGAAGGGUAUCUCGACGAUUUUGGCGUAUCUUUCUCUCAUCUCCUUCACGGAACCACAGCACAGCUCUAUGCACUUUAAGAGUGCUGACUCAGAGGCAUCUCCU
rnacentral:lncRNA from 1 species